rnacentral:rRNA from 1 species
AGAGUUUGAUCAUGGCUCAGAUUGAACGCUGGCGGCAGGCCUAACACAUGCAAGUCGAGCGGCAGCACAAGGGAGUUUACUCCUGAGGUGGCGAGCGGCGGACGGGUGAGUAAUGCCUAGGGAUCUGCCCAGUCGAGGGGGAUAACAGUUGGAAACGACUGCUAAUACCGCAUACGCCCUACGGGGGAAAGAGGGGGACUUUCGGGCCUCUCGCGAUUGGAUGAACCUAGGUGGGAUUAGCUAGUUGGUGAGGUAAUGGCUCACCAAGGCGACGAUCCCUAGCUGUUCUGAGAGGAUGAUCAGCCACACUGGGAUUGAGACACGGCCCAGACUCCUACGGGAGGCAGCAGUGGGGAAUAUUGCACAAUGGGGGAAACCCUGAUGCAGCCAUGCCGCGUGUGUGAAGAAGGCCUUCGGGUUGUAAAGCACUUUCAGUAGGGAGGAAAGGUUGUAAGUUAAUACCUUGCAGCUGUGACGUUACCUACAGAAGAAGGACCGGCUAACUCCAUGCCAGCAGCCGCGGUAAUACGGAGGGUCCAAGCGUUAAUCGGAAUUACUGGGCGUAAAGCGUGCGCA